GAAGGACAGAAGAUGACUAACACUUUACAACAAACUGAGACUUGAAUCAGAGAAAUAGCAGGUACCCAAAGACUUGUGAGGAUGGAGAGUAUGAGGAUAGUGACUCUCUAUAAUAACAAGGAAAAUUCCUAAAAAAUAUUUUACAAGCCUGUACCUUAUGCACAACAAGUAUUCAACAAAAAUCUGCUGAUGGAUUGAUCAAAUCCCAAUCAGAAGCAUCUGCAAGAUACAACUGACUAAGGGUGGAUGCGGGGGAGGGGAACUGGUCAACAUGAAGCAGUGUUCUGCAACUUGAGAGCCCAGAAGCAUCUUUCUUCCUCCUUCUUUGGGGUGGAGAACAUGAAAGAAAAAGCUAUCAUAUAUCCUCUGAGACAACAAAGAACCUAGAAGGAGAUUCAGAAGGCUAGAUCCAGCCUACAGAAAAUCUUUUUGUCUCAUAGAGAGUUAAGUUAAAAAUUUGACUCUACCUCUGCUGCACAAAGUCUCAGACCUCAGCUGAAGACCUCAAACAGCUAUGUGACCCAAACACUUUGGGGCUGGAAUCACUUGAAGGCUUUUCUACUCACAGGUCUGGUGCCUAGUCUGGGAUGACUUGAAGGUUGGGCUCAGCUGAGACUGCCAACCAGGGUGUCUACUGUUGUCUGUCCUCUUCGAGUAGCAUGUGCUUUCACAAGCUCCUGUACCAUGACAGUUUUAUAUGGUGGCUCAGAGCUCCAUGUGAGACCAUUUCAGUAAACAUAUGGGAGCAACAUGGCCUUUUAUGACCUAGGCUCAGAAAUCACAAGCAUCACUUCCUCUGAGCUACAUUAAGCAGUCAUAAGCCCACUCAGAUUCAAGGAGGGGAGUCAUAAACCCUAUUUAUCAAUGGGAACAGAACUAAAAAAUUUGUAGCCAUGUUUUAAAACCAUCACCUAGAGAUGUAAACUGAACCUAGAGAUAUAGAUGUAUGUACACAUGUACACAUGUGUAAGUGUGUGUGUGUGUGUGUGUGUGUGUGUAUUAAAUCCCUAUGAUUCUCACAACAAAUCACUUGGCUAUGUUGUAUUAUGUCUAUUCCAACUUUCCUAGGGUCACAUAACCAGUACAUUGUAGAGGCAGGAUUAUAAUCCAUAUAACCAAUGUCAUAUGAAUUCUACUAAACCAUGUCAACCCCAGGGGAGACUCCAUUAGUUUCAAUGCUUAAAACUGCCACGCUAAUAAUUUUGAGUUGACACUAUAUUCAAAGUAGCCGAUUUCCUCUGAAAACAAAAGAAGCCAGAGGAAAUGAAAUUGUGUUCCAUUUAAAUAAGCAUAAUUUACAAAACAGACAAACCCCAGGUAAGCUCUCAGAGACUUUCAACGUGAAGCCAAUUGUGUCAAGGCAUCAGCUCACCCUAAGGCACAACAUUUUCUAGAAUUCUAACAUGUGAUUUCCUGAGUGGUUUUGUUUUGUUUGCUGGAGCUGCUCCUGCUGCUGGACAUAUCUACCUCACUCACUCUCCCUUUCACAAGCCUCAGCUGACUUGAAUCAUCAGAGGAAUUGACUCAGCUUUUCAUUUCAUGGUGAACACAGAGACAGAGCCAAAGAUCAUGCUUAUAGAGUAGAGAAAACAAGACUCUGGUAUGGGCUACUAAUUUCCCUCUAGCAUCUUCUCAGUCAAUACCAAUCCCAAUAGUCUAUUUCAUUACCUACAUGGCAUGGUGAGACAUCGAUUGGAGCAACUUCUCCUGCCGUGGAUCAUUUGUGUCAUACGCAGAGAAGUCACUAAUGAACAUUUUCUGGAUAAGUCACAUUGAAAGCACAAUUUUCUGGCCUUGGUUAAGGAAUUAUAUUGAACAUCAUCUCAAAGGUUGAGGGUUGAAAUAAAACAAAGAAUAAUCACUAAAAAUACACACACAUACAAAAUUACAUCUUAUAUAAAGGCUAUAAAAUGCAUUAUCAUCUAUAGUCUCCACUUCAUUUCUCAGUCAUUCAGCAAGCAAUCCGUUUCACAGAUAUUAAUAACCUUUGCAGAAUGCUCUGCUGACCUGUUCUAUUCACUCCCACUGUGUACAUGUGUACGUUUUGUGUGUACAAGUGUGUAUCCGUAUGUUUGCAGGUCCUCUAUCAAUGAGAUGUACACAAUGACAGAGUCUUGCUACAACACUGAAAAUACCCUGACUGAGGAAACAGGAGAUCACUAUAAUAAGAGUGGUCAGGCCCUUAAAAGGGAUCUCAAAGGAAUAUAUUUUCUUUAAAACAGAUUACUUUUGGUGGUUCCAAAUCCUUUGUAUGAUUUAAACAAAGGAAUAGAAAUAAAUGCCUAAGUGUGAAGUCUGGGAGAGCUGUAAAAAUCACUGUUUCUAUUGAGUGAAUUAUCACUAAUAUUCAAAUGAGCAAUUACUAACAAAUUGAUUUGUCCCCUUGGACUACAUGUUGUCACAUUGACACAAGAAAGAAGAUUUCUUUAUGCCUUGUGUCAAUAGAGGCUAGAUCAUAAAUAGAUUUGGUGCUUUAUUAUAUAGCACCAAUGAGAGAA